rnacentral:rRNA from 1 species
CCAAUAGCGUAUAUUAAAGUUGUUGCAGUUAAAAAGCUCGUAGUUGAAUUUCGGGAUCAAUACGUCGGUCGUGCUUCGGUACGUACUGGCGUAAUUGAUUUCUCCCUUCUGACGAACCAUGAUGUCAUUAACUUGGUGUCAUGGGAAAUCAGGACUGUUACUUUGAAAAAAUUAGAGUGUUUAAAGCAGGCUCACGCUUGAAUACAUUAGCAUGGAAUAAUGAAAUAGGACGUUUGAUCCUAUUUUGUUGGUUUUUAGGAUCAACGUAAUGAUUAAUAGGGAUAGUUGGGGGCAGUUGUAUUCAAUUUUCAGAGGUGAAAUUCUUGGAUUUAUUGAAGACUAACUACUGCGAAAGCAUUUGCCAAGGAUGUUUUCAUUAAUCAAGAACGAAAGUUAGGGGAUCGAAGACGAUCAGAUACCGUCGUAGUCUUAACCAUAAACUAUGCCGACUAGGGAUCGGAUGAUGUUAAUUUUUUAAUGACUCAUUCGGCGCCUUACG